UAAAUAUUUUAUUAUUGUAUUAUUUUAAAUAUUUUAUUAAUUUUUAAAUAUUGUAACUAUAAAUUUUGAGCAUUUUUGGCAACACUGCUUGAUUUCAAACAAAUGCAAAUUUAUCUCAGCGUAAUAUUUAUAUUUUUUGGAAAUAAUGGAGAAGCUUGUUAUUUUAAAAGAAGUAUUUAAUUUACUUUUCAAUGACAGUGAAGAUGAAGAAAGUGAUAAUGGCAUACAAGUGGUUAAAAAACAUUUAACAAAAUAUAAGAAAUCCAACAAAUUGCGUAGCUCCAAUUUUGAGCGGUACAAUUGUAGCAAUAGUUAUGAAGGUCCUGUAACGGUCAAGGACGCAGAGAAAACAAACAUUUGUUUUGAUGAGGACAUAAUAAUACCAGUGCCCAAUAAAAACGUUUAACAAAACUUUCGCGUAGAAACUGUUAUAUUUGGAAUAAUCUGCAGGGAUAUUUAUCCAUACUUGUACAAAAAGUAUGUCCCUGGACGAAAUGCAUUAAAUCUGGAUAAACAGAUCAAUAUCAGACAGGUUUGGUGUUUGUACUUCAACCUCAUGGAGAGUUAUUUCCAACGUGUGCAAUGCAAUACUUAAAAUGAAUGAGGAGAAACACAUCAUUAAGUGGCCAAAUCUAAAAGAAGCGGACAGCACUACAAAACAUUAUAGUGCUAUUUAUAAUUUAAAAGCCGCACUACACAAAAUUGAAAGAAAAAAGUUUGCAAGCGAUAUCAAUAAAAGUUAUGAUUUACCGGAUAUGUAUGACGGUAACAAAGAGAGGAUGUCUGAAUAUUUAGAAAACGAUAUAUUUAACCAAAGGAUAUUUGAACUUUGUGAUGAACCGACAGUAAAUGUUGACAAGGCAGAGAACCAACCAGAGACAGUACUUACACUUGCAGAACGGCUCGCUGCUGAAACAAAAACCAACUGGCAAGCAGAUACUGAAUGCACACCUACUCAAAAAAUCGAUAGGGGCGUCAAACGUCUUCCAUCAAACGAUUCAACGCCUACAACAUCUAUAGCCGCACUGCGAAAAGUUAAGCGAAAACUAUUUGUAACUGAACAAAAUACCAAUAAGAGUUAUGAUUUAGCAGAUAUGUAUGAAAGAAUUUUUAAAGUUAAUUAUAGAAGAGAGACAUCUGCUGAAGCUAAUGUGGCGGCUCUAUUGCAUUUAAUACAAGUAUAUAGAGGGCAUUUUUAAGAAUAUGCAAACAAUCAUGCAUUCCCUUUCGAGGAAAUAUUAGUGGGUACCGCUAUUCACCAGAAACUGAAAUCGAAUCAAGUUUGCGACGAACAAUUUUAAGCAUUUCUUGCACUUUCACAAGAUGGUGUACAGAAUAUAAUUACAUAUAUUUUUUCACCUAACGGUUAUUUGUAACCCCUAAACUAAACAAGUUGACAAAAAGAUUUGAAAUCCGGUUGUCUGGUUGUUCGUCGUCCGUGCAAGCGGUAACUAGAAUAAGAAUUGAGACAUCUUAAUGUAAAUUGACACACGUGUUCCUUGGCAAAACUACUAACCAAAAUAACGGAGAAUAACCACACCCACUCAACGCCUGAAGCAUGCAUUUUACAAUAAAGAUGAUAACGAAAAGUUGCAUUCAAAUUGGUAUUAAAAUUGAACAAUUGGCGAGACACCGUUCUCAUUUGGGUCAAUUAGUACAUAGUAAUUAGUACUUGUUAUUUGAAAGUUACAGUUUGAAAAUGGAAAUAUGACAUAAUUUUAACAUACGUUUAAACUCUAAUUGAUUGUUUAUCUUUACAAUAUAUUUAUGUACAUAUAUCUAAAUUUAAUCCAUGUAAAAGAACUCGAAAUGGAACCAAUAAAACAUAUCGGAAAUAAACUCCUUACAAAUUACUAGAUUGAAGGUGUACCACGGUUCGUCCAGGAUUUGUCAAAAUUAUAACCUUUCAAUUCAGAGGAAAUAUCUUCCUGGCAAAUUGCAAGAGUAUAAAUAAAAUUUUCAAAAAAUAAAUUGACUUAAAUAUAAAUUUAUAAAAAAAAUUAUAAUUUC